ensembl:lncRNA
UUAUUAUUAUUAUUAUUAUUAUUGAAUUGAAUUAAAAAGUAAUCUGUUGGAAGUUGUAUUUUUAAACUUUGAAGUGUUAAGAGACCAAACUGAUGUAUUGUGUUCUAUUCUAUGUAUUCCUUUAAUUUUGUAUACUUGGUCUUAAAAAGGACAUCUUAAACAUCUUUUAAAAAUCUACAGAAACCUUGUUCAUGUUAACUUUAAAAGCUGAAAUUACAACAUUAAUCACUUAGGAUUCAAUUUCUAAAUACCCAGCUAGUGCCCUUAAAACAGAAACUACGAAAUAGCAGUGUGUCUUUAACCUGUAAGAUGUUGGUUAACCUCUGUCGGACAUGCACCUUCUGAAUUUGAAUGAGAUAGGUAUGUAAAUGAUAAAUGAAAGCUUUUCAUUUUGAGCCUGUGAAAAGGCUCUUGAAACAUUGUGUUCCAUUAGCUGAGCCUGCCAUUAUUUAGCAAUUUAUCAAAAUGAUUGAGCAGUAAUUUAACACGGCUGUCUUGCGAGGCUUGACCUCUUGAUGAUAUGCUCUUCAAGAUAUGCAGGCAAGGCAUCUGCAAAGUGCCACCACUCACAAUUAUGGAGGAAUAACAUCAAUGCACUUUAUGUGGUGUGCGGGUUUGAAAUUCCAGUUCGGUUGUGUGCUCAAUAUAUAUCGAACUGAAAGAUCUUUGAUAAAGGCCCAGUGCAUUUAGACCUAUUGAGAGCCCAUAUCUGAUAUAGCUAAUCAAAUGUAAUUAAUCUUCAUUGUGGGGAUGCAUCAAAACAGUAAUUUGCUGUAAAGCCCAAAGCGUCAUUACACACUAGGGUGCCCGCAGGUCUUUAAAGAGUGUUAGGUGCUCUAUUUGUGUAUUAGAGCGUGUAGUGAACGAGCAUGGCCAGGAACAUUACCCUUGCUUUGUAUUAUGACACCCACCUCAUCAAGAUAAUACAGUUGGAGGUGUUUCAUGCAAUGAUAAUCUUCAUUUUAAUUCCCAUGGCAUAUCUCAAGGAGCAUAACUGUUUUGGAAACUACAAAAAGACCUUUAUUUGGAGCAAGCAUUUAAAAUUGUAAUCGUUUUGCCUCAAAAUGUGUUAUCUCAAGAAUAAAAAGGCACAGUGUGAUCAUAUCUGGUAGACACAUUAACAUAUUGCAUGAAGCAUUUCAUAGUGAGUGCUGCUCAUGCAUGUAAUUGUAAUAGCAUGUUGACACUGAUCUCAUUUCUUGAGUCUGGUGCAUAAUAUUACAAAUAAUAAUAAUAAAUACAAAGAAUAUCAUACACACUGAUCACCCUGGCAUGCAAAGGAAGACUAAUAUAGCUUGUAUUGUAAGUGUUUUUUAUCACUUAUGUUCCAGUGAGGAUUUUAUUUUUAUUUUUUUUCCUCAAAAUGCUAGUUAAUAUUAUAACAUUGGACUAAAGUACAUACUGACUUUGUAGUACAAAAUAGUGAGAGAUUAACAAUCAAUUUUUAAAAGGCUGGUCAUUUUUGACCGGGAAAACCAAAUUAGGUAAAGGAUUUUGAGCACAGCACAAGGUUUCAAGUAUAUACAGUAUUGUUAAUUACAAUGACCUAAUGUUAUUUAGCAGUUCAGCAGUCUGCAAGGAACACACCUUCUUAGUCACCAUAGUACACAUAUUAUAAUUUUACGCAUGCAUGAAUAGGUUCACGGCUAAUAGUAUUUUUGUAAUGUAACACAAAUGAAUCUGCUCAUCUGCAAAAUCAGAUAGGGAUUAAGAAAAUGCUGAAAUGAAUAUUUUCCUUUAUGAAAGAUUAACCUCUCACAUAUUCGUGUCUCAGUAAAAACCUGCAGCUGGUGGUUGGUGUGGGUGAAAGAAAGCAGUCAGGGCUGGUAAACAUGGCAGGUCGACUGGCGAGAUAAUGGAAAGGUACAGGCAUAGAUGACAGAAGGAAAAUUUCUCUUCUGUCAUUUGAGAAGGGCUAGAUCAAAGCUCCAUUAAUCAGAGAGUGACUGUGGGGUGCAGGUAAUAGAAUGAAAGUAGUAGAAAGGAGGGUUCAUGGGAAAGGUAGGGAAGGGGAGAGCAGGAUGGACUGAGCUCUUGGGAAAUGUUAUGAUGAAAUGAAAAGAGCUGGAUAAGGGUCACAGUGGAGGCUGGAGGUUAAGGGGUUGACCUUGCUUACAUGUGUUUCCUCAGAGUAUUGAGGAUCAUUAUAAGGUUGUGGAAUGGUAGAGCAGGUGCUGAAAGAAUACUCUAGCCAUUUCUUUUCACCUAACAGAUUUGUAUGUUGAUGUCAGAAGAGCAUAGUGCAAAUGAUGGUGAAAUAUAGGCAGUUAUUUUAGGGACAGGACUUAAGGUAUUUUCGCUUUCUGCAAGCUUGAAGUUUCAGGUUGUGUUCACAUUUUUGUUUGAAAUCUGAUUUCAUACUGAUUUCAUUAUAUUUAAUUUCAUAUGUAUGUAAAUAAAAUAGUUCUGCUAUACAGCACAUCAUUGAGACUCUUUUGGUAUGUAACAUAGUUAUGCCAGUAGGUGAGUGCAAUAUAAGUGAGUCAUUAAACAUUUACUGAACAUGAUUCGUUCAUAACACUGAUUCAUUCAGGAACUAAACAACUGCAUGUCUUUAUGUGACUUAGAAACUCCAAAAGGACACCAAAGAACCAAAUGAUAUAAGGAUCCCAUAUAAGCAUAUAUGGAAAAAAAAGAAAAAAAAAAGAAAAUAAAAAAAAAUAGAUUUUUAUAGUAUGCGCACAGUGCAACAGCAAAGAGCUUUUUUACAUUUUAGAGAAGCCAAGUUGCGAUACCGAACAGAACCACAUGGAGAUGGCAAAAAAAAAAAACAAUCGCCUGCUGACUGCAUGUACAGUAUCUACUACAGUUCACAGAUCCAUUCCGUAUAACUAAACAUUAUACUAUUAUAACCGACUCACGUGUGCUUACUGUAUGACUCCUGUACGCCACCACAAUCUUCUUUUCCUUGAUUGCAGUCUUCAUCCAUCAAAACUUUACUAGCGAGACUGCUUUAUUGUAAAAUUAAUUGCAUGCGUUAACGCGUUAACGAUGACAACCCUAUUACAAAACAAUCAUAGCAAAAUGGCAAAAGCUGCAUUUGUAUAAAAUGAGAGAGUGAGUCCACGAUACCAGGAUGGCAAAAUUAAAUAAUUGUACACAAUUUUAAAUUGAGUUUUAUAAUUUUAUUAUCUAAACAAACGCAAAGCUUACACAAAGAAAGCCACUGUUCAGUUACUUGGAUGAGCCUGUGUUAUUAGUUUUUACCGGUUUUAAUCGAGGGAUAACAUAUCUCAGAAUGUCGCGGCUGACCAAUCAGAAUCAAGUAUUCCAUAGAGCCGUGUAAUAACUAAGGUUAACUAAUGUGGCCAUAUUGUAAAGUACGGAGAUGUCAUCUUUACAGUCACUCCCUUGACAGUUGUAUUAGAAACCCCACAUAGUAUUAGACAAAAUGUAGUGUUAUAAAUGUACAUUCUUCUGGUUCUUUUUUGAAUAUAUCCAGUUUUAAUUUAUGAUUAAUCCUUGCAUAAAUGUGUUAUCACAGGCACUAAAAUGCUUCCAUUCUGCUGUGACUUUGUUUGGAACUAUUUUUGCCGGCGGAACAAAAAUAGAUAAAAUUACUCACUUGAAUCUGAAUGUGACAUGUUUUAAAGGGAUUCAUCUGAAAUUUUCGCAACAAUAUAGUUGUUUUCCUUCAAGAGAAACCAUUUUGUCAAAUGAACACAAAACAACAAAACCUCCAAUAAAUGACACCUUUACCCUACAAAGAUGCCGUUUUGGGCAUUAUUUUGUCUCUGACCCAAGUCCCCACCUUUUCUUCUUGGUUUGAUGAAACCAAUUCCAAAGCAGAAGAUUGCCAGAAAAAUGUUUGCCUAAAGAUCACACCCUCUCUCUUCAAAAGGUGCAUUUUGUAUGUAGACAACUUUCAGAUGAUUUCCCUAGACAGAACAGCUGAACACACUAGACUGUGUAAAAUGACAGGCGAGAAGGGGCUUUUGGUCCCUUCUGAACAGCUUACAACCGGAAUCAUGAUAAAAAACAAAUUUUGUGCUGAGCAGACUUCACUUGGACAAACAGGUGCAAUAAAUUAGCAAAUACCUUCAAUACUCACAGUUUUCAAAAGCCUGCAAUAAAUCUAUAACCUUGGGAGUUGACACCUUCUACAAGUACCCCUGAAAAAAUAUUGGUGAGAUUCUCUGUUUGCCUUAUAAUAACAAUUACAAAUGCCAAGCAAGAAAAAUUAUGAGCAACAUUAAGCCCUCUGGGACUUUGUUAGGGUGACAUUGUGAGAACAGUGUGCAUAUUUUAUAUUUUUGUCAUUUUAAUGGUGCCAUUUUGCUAUUAAUAAUUUAAUUUGAACAAAAAUAAGAGAUUUGGAUCUCUAGAGAUUGCAAUCAAGGAUGGGAAUGAUAAGAAAUUUAAUGAUUGAAAAGUAAAGGUUUUGGUUCAUUAACAGUUCCAUUAACGAUUUUCCACAUGUUUGGAGGGAGAUAAAUGUGUUGGCGGAAAAAUAAAAAAAGAAUUGCUUAUAAUUGCUGUUAAUAGUGUUCAUCGUCUGUUUGAUUAUGUCUUUAAUUGAUUUUUCCGUACAUUUCUGCCAUAUGUACAAAAAACUGACAGUCACCACUGAUAAGC